UAGGGAAUCUUCCGCAAUGGACGCAAGUCUGACGGAGCAACGCCGCGUGAGUGAAGAAGGAUUUCGGUUCGUAAAACUCUGUUGUUAGAGAAGAACAGCGCAUAGAGUAACUGUUAUGCGUGUGACGGUAUCUAACCAGAAAGGGACGGCUAACUACGUGCCAGCAGCCGCGGUAAUACGUAGGUCCCGAGCGUUGUCCGGAUUUAUUGGGCGUAAAGCGAGCGCAGGCGGUUAGAAAAGUCUGAAGUGAAAGGCAGUGGCUCAACCAUUGUAGGCUUUGGAAACUGUUUAACUUGAGUGCAGAAGGGGAGAGUGGAAUUCCAUGUGUAGCGGUGAAAUGCGUAGAUAUAUGGAGGAACACCGGUGGCGAAAGCGGCUCUCUGGUCUGUACCUGACGCUGAGGCUCGAAAGCGUGGGGAGCGAACAGG
rnacentral:rRNA from 1 species